rnacentral:rRNA from 1 species
UACGGGGGGAGCAAGCGUUGUUCGGAUUUACUGGGCGUAAAGGGCGCGUAGGCGGCGUGACAAGUCACUUGUGAAAUCUCCGGGCUUAACUCGGAGCGGUCAAGUGAUACUGUCGUGCUAGAGUGCGGAAGGGGCUACUGGAAUUCUCGGUGUAGCGGUGAAAUGCGUAGAUAUCGAGAGGAACACCUGCGGCGAAGGCGGGUAGCUGGGCCGACACUGACGCUGAUGCGCGAAAGCGUGGGGAGCAAACAGG